UAAGUGAAGUUCCUUGAAAGCAGCACACAACUUUUCUCUAAAGCUGUGAAAUUGGCAAAGGAUAUAGUACAAGAAGAAAAAGAGAAUACAGAUGACAUCGGGGGUCCAAGAGACAUUCCAUAUUUAAGCUUCAUAAUGUCCUUAUUUGCACACAUAUACCACACUGCCUUCAUUUUCUCCAGCUGAUAGAUUUGUGUAAGAAAUCUUGACUUUGAGAGUUCAAUGUCAUUCCCAACAGGGUCUUUAUGUCUGUCUGGUCAUGUUAUCAGCCAGUCUUACUUAAUGUAUUAGGCCAGUUGGAAACCAUCAUUAAAGAAACUGACCCUGGUGAUCACCAGAGUAGUUUCAGACUAUAAACAACACAUCAUAAAUCCCACUGCCCUUAUCUUGGCCCAAAGACAAAACUGGACAUUCUGAUGACCCCAGAGAUUAUGACAGUGUUUUCUGGUCUAAUUAAACCAUAGUCUUCAUAUACCUUUACCACGCCUCCUUCCUCCAAUUAGGAAGCUAAGUGGGUAAGAAAGAAAAAAUAAAGGCAGAGCAUAACGAUGUCACCCAUCUUUGGCCUCUUAGCCGGAGCUGAUCCUUACAUGGGCAGUAGACUAUAAGUGUGUUAAUUAUUUUUCCUACUGCAGAGCUUCUUCACGUUGGAAUGGUGAAUAGGUACACAUUUCUCAAAGCUCAAAGUGCAAGUCUAGGUAUAUUCUCUAGUUUCAAUCUUGGUGAAAUUUUUUUCUAUGAAUUCAUUACUUUUUAGUUUAUUUCAGGGAGGGGGUGGUGUUUUUUAAUGAAUUAAUACAAGUGUCAGCAUCUUUCAUGGACAUCCAGACAAUUUCUUAAAGAUGGGAGAGGUAAAAAAUCUUCAGGAGAAACUGUGCCUGAACUGUGAGUAUCCAGAAGCCAUUGACCAUGUUAAUGGUGGAGCCAAUAUGAAGUACUUGCUAAAUCAUGUGGUGCGUGAAAGGAAGAGCAAUGUUAUAAUUGCAUCCUCCUAAAGACUACAUAACCAUCAUCACUCAUCAUCUCUCCCUGGUCCCUUCCACCUGCCAAACCCCCAUAAAAACCCAUAAUUGAUGAUACAUAUUAGUUUAUAAUUAACGGCGUACCUAACUGUUCUCUACUAGUCUGAGCCUCUGUACAGAGAAAUGUCAGUUUUGUAUUCCUGGUUCCUGGAAAAGUACAUAUAGAAUAGUAUAAAUACAAUAAAUGUUUGAAUUAUCGUAUAACUUGAGUCUAAAUUUUAAGUUAGUAUCCUGUAUUAAGAACUGGGUUGAUCAAAUGGUUCUUUCUUUGCACAUAUCAAGGCUUUCGACUAUUCCCAACCAGGUCUUCCCAAAUUUGGGCAUAUUCCUGCCUCUGCCUACCCUGUUCUAAUUUGGCACUCUAAAGAUAGUUCAUAAAAAGCAAGCCAAAGAUAGAAAAGAGAGCUAAGGCUACAGGAGGAAUUUACUCUUUAACAUUUGGGGGAAGGAAAAUGAGGCUUGUCUACAGCAGGGACUGGCUGUCUUCCAGAAAUGGUUUCCCAAGGUGUUCCCUACCUCUCUUUUUCUUGGAUAUCUUUUUGCAUUAUAGAUAGCCUUGGGAAGGGUGUCACCUUUAUCCUAUCAGUUCCACCUAAUCAACUGUAGUCAUCUGAGAGCCAGAAUUAUUAUUGAUAGAGGGGCCUGGGAAAGGAGAAAAGGACCAGGAGAGAGGAAGGUAUACUUAUUGCAGAGGAGAAAAGCCAAAGAACGUUUGCCCAUGGGCAGUCUUAGCUAUUUAAAAUCACCCACUUCUUCAUCCGGCUCCCUUGGCAUAUGUAUCAGCCCAUGGAUUGGGAGGUGUAGGACCAUUCUUUUUCUUUCUGGAAGGAAAGCACUGACAUUUAAGCUCUGUGCGGUCUGCUCAGGGGCUGCCCAGUUUGUCCAAGCUUUAGGAUAUUAGAGAGAUUACGCAUUUGUGGUCUCAAGUUAGGAAACUGUUGAAGAACAAAUAUGUCCCUUAUUAGAGGGCCUCUUUAGAUGUUUAGGGUACUCACAAUCCUUGCCAACCUGAUGUCCUUGGAAGCUCCAGUCUGGCUGUAAGGAGAUGAUGAGGGGUUCUGUGUGUUGGAGGUGAUGACCUCAUUGAGUCUCAGCCACAGCAGGGCAUUAUGCAGGAAAGAAUUCAAUGGAGUUAUUUAAUACCUUUCCCUAUUCCCACAAAAAUCUGGAACUGGGUUCUGAACUGAGAAGUCUGGGUUCCCUGAGAAUUGGACAUCAGUUCAACCACAGGAAGCCUCUAAAUUUAGCACUCUACUCACAGAGGGCCAAGAAAAAUUCACAAAUGUCACAAACUUAGGAACUUAGGUAUCUAGUCUUCUCUGUCAUUUUGUAAUGAGAAACUGAGGCCCAUAGGUAAAACAUCUCACCUCCAGUCACACAGGUAAGUACAUGGCAGGGCAAGGACAGGCACCCAGUUUUCCCAAGUCCAGUGGCCUUUUCAUGAUACCCAUUUCUGUGUAUCAUUUCAUUGAUUUCUGUGACAGCUGGCCCUUUGCCCCUCAUCACCAAAUCUUAACUCUUUGGACUUUAAUAAUGUGCAAAAUUAAGAGGAAGUCUGGCAUCGGGAGCUUUACACAACUCAGAGAGAACUGAGGAAAGUAGUUAGCAUGUUAACUGUGCCUCACCUUGACCUGAAGUGAAGAGCACUCACCAAGCCACAACCUGCUAUCUGCACACCCCACACCAUGAGGUAAAGGACAGCCAAGGAAGAGAAAGGAAAGAAAAGCAAUCCGGCAGGGAGAUCAGGGAGCGAAACGAACAGAGAAACGAACAGAGGUUUUUUCCAAGGGCCUUCUAUUUUUCUACAAUCUCCACACAUUCAGUACUGAGACACAUUAAGAAGGGCCCACUGAGGCCAUCAUUCACCCUACUCUCGGGCUGCUUCCAUCCUCCAGGCUUCUAGAAGUUGAGAAAGUAUGAGCUUCAUUGUUAAUUAUAUUACAGAAAAUGGGACCAGCUGGGUUGCACCCACUCCCCUGUGUCUGGACCUCCUGCCUAUGUAGCAGAAAAGGAUCUUUCUGCUGAAUUAAUAUUCACCUCAGAGCCCUGGGAGAUGUCUGAUGAAAAGUAGUUUUUGAAGAGUCUUGUGACAACCAGCAAUUUCGGCAAAGCUAUGUCCUCAAGAGUCUUCCAGAUUUCCCCAACUCUACAGAAUGCUUUUCUUUUUAAAUACCAUAAUCCCAUAAUCUUUCUCAAAAAUUAUAAAACUGUAUUUUAUUUUUCUCAUUUAUUUGGGAGUUUGGUAAGAAACGUUUGGGAAGAAAUGCUUUUAUGGAGAAACUACUCAGAUUUGAAACUACCUAGUUUAUACUACCAGAAGACAGAGAUUCAGGUUAGCUAGUUUGCUAAUCCUCACAGUUUCAGAGAUAUGCCUUGUAUUUUUCCAGAUUAUAGGCUUUGAGGACAUUCACCAAUAGCAUCCUCCUCUGAAUGUAUUUUGGUCCUUUUGCUAAGCUAUGUCUUAUUUUAUAGUCCUCCAAAUGAUGAUCUAUGACUUCUCUGCCUGCUCAUUAGAGGAAGAAAAGCUCAGAUGCAUUGCUAACUAUUAUUUCAAUGCCAGUGGAACUGGAGAAAUGCUUGAAAAAGUAAUCUCAGGUUGUAAAAAAGAACUAUCUUUUUUUGGUUGCAGGAGCUAGAACCCUAUUAUUCUGAGAGUAAAUUUUCUAUUAUUCCUAUCUAAUUCAUUUUCUUGGGAGAUGAAACUCCCUCUUUUUUUUGGUGGGGAGACAGGGUCUCACUUUGUCACCCAGGAUGAUGAUGAUGGAGUGCUGUGGCACGAUCACGGCACACUGAAGCCUCGACCUCCUAGGCUCAAGCGAUUCUCUCACUUCAGCCUCCUGAAUAGCUGGGACCACAGACACACACCACCUUACCCAGCUAAUUUUUUGUAUUUUUUUGUAGAGACAGGGUUUUGCCGUGUUGCCCAGGCUGGUCUCGAAGUCCUGGGCUCAAGCGACCCGCUCACCUUGGCCUCCCAAAGUGCUGGGAUUACAGGUGUGAGCCCCUCACUGCUCCUGGCUCCCUCAUUAUUAUAUUUCCUGAAGUUGACAUGAUUUGGGUCCUUUACUUAGAAAUUGUCAUCACACAAUUUCAGAAAGGUAAAGAAAUCCAUUUUUAUUGGCAACUUUGGGCUAUGCUUCAUCCUGGCAAAAAUUUAAAAGCAGUACACUUCGACGUGGCUCACUUUCCUGCACACCUCAGGCAGCUUGUACAGACUAUCCAAGAAAAAAUGAGGAGGAAAGUGCUCCAUCAAGGAAGAGGGAUGAGAUGGGAGCAUAAUUCACACACUAAGAACUGAGUUCUAAAGUCACUUGAGCUUUCUGGAGCUCAGUUACCUGUAAAACAAGGAAGAAUGAAUGGUCUUUAUGGAAAAUGAAUGGCAGAAUAAGUGAUUUGUCAAGUUCAUUGAACUAUAAAUUCCAUUUUUACUGUCAUUUAUUUAUAACAAAGUUCAGAUAUAAAGAAAAAUCUGAACAUACAGUAGGCACAGAUAAACCUAUAGCAAAUAUUCACAUGUGGUUUGAAUGCAUUUAUUAAUCUCUGUACUUAUUAGAAUUAAUAAUAAUACUAAAAUGAUUUGGAGAAUUAAUGAUUAAUAACAGUGGAAAAUAGCCUUCCCAUUAUUGUUAGAGGAUGGUGCCAUCAUGAUGCUAAAUGCCUAUCUGAGGGGAAGCUCAUAAAUAUUACUUGACAAUAUUACUUGAUAAAUAUUUGUUGAAAAAAGAAAUGUAGUAAAGAAGCAAGGAUGGCUGGGCAUGGUGGAGCAUGGCUGUGGUCCCAGCUAACUUGGGAUGCUGAGGUGGGAGGAUUGUUUGAGGGAAGCUGAGUUUGCAGUGAGCCAAGAUUGCACUACUGCACUGCAGCCUGGGUGACAGAGUGAGACCCUCUCCAAAAAAAGAAAAAAAAAAAGAGAAAAAAAAGAAGCAGCAGCAACGAAAGGAGGGAGGAAGGGAGAAAGUUUACUUUGAUAUGCCAUAUGAUUGAAACAAAUGCUCUUUUUUCAAAGACAAGGAUUAUACUCCUUUGCAUUCCAGCUACUUUGGUCCAUUGUAACUUGGUAACCUUUGCCUUGAAAACAAAAAGAAUCCCUGGAUAUAAUCUCCUUCCUUGUAAUUUUUUUUAUAAGAUGCCAGUAUGGUAAUAGGUCCAUUAGCAAGUAAGUACAGGCACAUCUUAUUUUAUUAUACUUCUCAGAUACUGCAUUUUUUACAAAUUGAAGGUUUGUGGCAACCCUGCAUCAAGGAAGUCUGUUGACAUCAUUUUUGCAAUAGUAUGUACUCACUUUAUGUCUCUGUGUCACAUUUUGGUAAUUCUUGCCAUAUUUCACACUGUUUCAUUAUUAUCUCUGUUAUUAAAAUCUGUAGUCAACGAUCUUUGAUGUUGCUAUUAUAAUUACUGGGGGCACCAUGAACCACACUUAUAUAACACAGUAAACUUAAUAAAUGUGUGUAUGUUCUGAUUGCUCCAACAACCAACCUUUCUCCAAUCUUUCUCCUUCUUCUCAGGCCUCCUUAGUCCCUGAGACACAAUAUUGAAAGUAGAUCAAUUAAUAACCCUAAAAUAGCCUCCAGGUAUUUCAAGUGAGAGGAAGUUGCAAUCUUUCACUUUAAAUCAAAAGCUAGAAAUGAAUAAGCUUAGUGAGGAAGGUGUGUCAAAAGCUGAGACAGGCUGAAAGCUAAGCCUCUUAUGCCAAACAACCAAGUUGUAAAUGCAAAGGAAAAGUUCUUGAAGGAAAUUAAAAGUGCUACUUUGUGAAUGCAUGAAUGAUAAAAAAGUAAAACAGCCUUACUGCUGAUAUGGAGAAACUUUGAGUCAUCUGAAUAGAAGAUCAAGCCAGCCACAAAAUUCCCUUAAGCCAAAGCCUAGUUCAGAGCAAGGCCCUAACUCUCUUCAAUUCUAUGAAAGCUAAAGGGAGGUGAGGAAGCUUCAGAAAAAAAGUUUGAAGGUAGCAGAGUCUGGUUCAUGAGUUUGAAGAAAAGAAGCCUUGUGCAUCCAUAAAAGUGCAAAGUAAAGCAGCAAAUGUUGAUGUAGAAGCUGCAGUAAGUUAUCCAGAAGAUCUAGUUAAGAUAAUUAAUGAAAGUGGCUACACUAAACAAUAGAUUUUCAAAAGAGAUGAAACAGCCUUAUAUUGGAAGAAGAUGCCAUCUCAGACUUACGUAUCUAGAGAGGAGUAGUCAAUGCCUCACUUCAAAGCUUCAACCAACAGGCUUACUCCUUGUUAGAAGUUAACGCAGCUGGUGAUUUUAAGUUGAAAUCAAUGCUCAUUUACCAUUUCCCCAAAUCCUACGACUUUUCAGAAUUAUGCUAAAUCUAAUCUGCCUGUGCUCUAUAAAUGGAGCAACAAAGCCUGAAUGACAGCAUGUCUAUGGACAGCAUGGUUUACUGGACAUUUUAAGCUCACUUUUUGAGUCUUACUGCUCAGAAAAAAAAAGAAUCUUUUAAAAAUAUUGCUGUUCGGGCCGGGCGCAGUGGCUCAUGCCUGUAAUCCCAGCACUUUGGGAGGCCGAGGCCAAAGUCAGUAGUUCGAGACCACCCUGACUAACAUGGUGAAACCCCAUCUCUACUAAAAAUACAAAAAUAAGCUGGGUGUAGUGGUGGGCGCCUGUAAAUCCAGCUACUCAGGGGUCUGAGGCAGGAGAAUCACUUGAACCCC
rnacentral:lncRNA from 1 species